rnacentral:snRNA from 1 species
AGCUUUGCGCAGUGGCAGUAUUGUAGCCAAUGAGGUUUAUCCAAGGAGUGAUUAUUGCUAAUUGAAAUAUAAACAGGUUAAU